GGGGAGAGACAUAAAUACAUUUUUUUCAUGUUCCAUGUUCAAGGUGAUCAGCAUACAUUUUAUUUAAUGUGACUGAAGUAUCUAAUGUGGAUACAUAAAAAAAAGGAUACAUACAAAAGGAUAAUUAAAAAUAGAAUGAGAAACCCUGGAUGUCAAUGGUGAAACUGCCAUACAUAUGGUCCUGUGAUUUUGGGUAACACAGGUGGAGAGGACUCGAAGCACUUGCUGAUGGAGGUCAAAGACCACAGUCUUCAGUAUGGAUUGUACCUCAACAUAAAGAAAACAAAAAUCUUCACAACUGGACCAAUAAACAACAUCAGGAUAAAUGGAGAAAAGAUUGAAGUUGUCAAGGAUUUCAUUUUACUUGUAUCCACAAUCAACACCCAGGGAAGCAGCAGUCAAGAAAUCAAAAGACACAUUGCAUUGGGCAAACCUGCUGCAAAUGAACAAUUUAAAGUGUUGAAAAGCAAAGAUGUCACCUUGAAGACUAAGGUGCUCCUGACCCAAGCCAUUGUAUUUUCGAUAGCAUCAUAUGCAUGCAAAAGGUGGACCAUGAAUAAGAAAGACUGAAAAAGACUUGACUCCUUUGAAUCAUGGUGUUGGUGAAGAAUAUUGAAUAUACCAUGGACUGACAAAAGAACAAUCAAAUCUGUCUUGGAAGAAGUACAAGCAGAAAGUUCCUUAGAAGCAAGGAUGGCGAGACUGCAUCUUACAUACUUUGGACAUGUUGUCAGGAGGGAAUAAUCUCUGGAGAAGAACAUCAUGCUUGGUAAAGUACAGGGUCAAGGAAAAAGAGGAAGACCCUCAACAAGAUGGACUGACACAGUGGCUGCGACAAUGGGCUCAAGCACAACAACCAUUGUGGGCAUGGUGCAGGAUUGGGCAGUGUUAUAACACACAGGGUCACUAUGAGUAGAAACUGACUCGAUGGCACCUAACAACUAACUAACAACAACAGGUAACACAAGUAUAUGAUAGAUCAAUGAUCAUAAAAUGGGACAGUGAGUUAAUACGUUUUGAAGAAGUUUAAGAAGGCUGUGUGCUUUCCUUUGUGGGAAGGGCCAUCACAUGUGAACAAAUGAAUAACCAAGGCACUGCAGUUAAACAGAUGGGAGUUUGAAAGAAUGACAAAGAUGAGUAUUGACCUUUUUAUCUCUGCUGUUGUUUUUACCAAUUACAAUUUAGAUAUUUUAAGUGCGUAUUUUAAAAUGUUUUAAUAUUAUUACCUAAUACAUGUUGAAUAUUUACUAUGUGCUUGGGGCUUGACAGCCCCACACCUCUGUCAGUUUGUUAUAUUGUGGGGGCUUGUGUGUUGCUCUGGUGCUGGAAGAUAUGCCACCAGUAUUGAAAUACCAGCACGGUAACCCAUGGUAGACAGGUUUCAACUGAGCUUCCAGACUAAAACAGAACUAGAAAGAAGACCUGGCAACCUAUUUCAGGGGAAAAAAAAAAUUAGCCGGUGAAAACCUUAUGAGUAUCAGCAGAACAUUGUCUGAUAUAGUGCCAGAAGAUGAGUGUCUCAGGUUGCAAGGUGCUCAAAAUACAACUGGGGGAAAGGUACCUCCUCAAAGCAGAGUUGAUCUUUAUGAUGUGGAUUUCAGAGGGUGGUUCAAGAACACAAAGUAUUAUAAUGACGUGCAAAGAUCUGGAGUUAGAAAACCAAAAGGAAAAAACACUCUGGGUAUUUCUCAAGCUGAAAGAAUUGAAGGAAACAUUCAAGACUCUAGUUGAAACAGUGAAGGAUUCUAUGGGCAAAACACAGAACGAUGCAGAAACAUCAAAAGAAGACAGGAGGAAUACACAGAUUCACCGUACCAAAAAGAAUUGGUCGACAUUCAACAAUUUCAGGAGGUAGCAUACACUAAGAACUGAUGGUACUAAAGGAAGAAGUCCCAGAUACACUCAAGACAUUGGUGAAAAAGAAGUCUCCAGGAAUUGAAGGAAUACCAAUUGAAAUACUUCAACAAACUGAUACAGAGCCAGAAGUGCUCACUUGUCUAUGCCAAGAAAUUAGGAAGACAGAUACCUGGCCAAAUGACUGAAAGAGAUCCAUAUUUUUGCCUAUUCCAAAGAAAGAUGAUCCAACCAAAUGUGGAAAUUAUCAAACGAUAUCAUUAGUAUCACAUACAGGUAAAAUUUUGCUGAACAUCAUUCUCAAGGGGUUGCAGCAGUACAUUGACAGGGAACUGCCAGAAAUUCAAGCGAGAUUCAGAGGAGGACAUGGAACAAGGGAAAUCAUUGCUCGUGUCUGAUGGAUCCUAUUUAAAGGCAGAGAAUACCAGAAAGAUGUUUAUCUUUGUUUUAUUGACUAUGAAAACGCAUUCAACUGUGUGAAUCAUAUUGAAUUGUGGAUAACAUAGCCAAGAACGGGAGUUCCAGAACACUUAAUUGUGCUCGUAAAUAACCUGUGCAUAGAUCAAGUGGCAGUUGCUUGAACAGAACAAAGAGAUACUGCAUGGUUUAACAUCAGGAAAGGUGCAUGCUUUCACCGUAGUUAUUCAAACUGUAUGCUGAGCAAAAAAUCCAAGAAGCCAGGCUAUAUGAAAAACAAUGUGGCAUCAGAAUUGGAGGAAAACUCAUUAACAACCUGCAAUAUACAGAUGACACAAGCUUGCUUGCUGAAAGUGAACAGGACUUGAAGCACUUCCUGAUGAAGAUCAAAGACCACAGCCUUCAGUGUGGAUUGCACUUCACCAUGAAGAAAACAAAAAUGCUCACAACUGGAUCAAUAAACAACAUCUAGAUAAAUGGAGAAAAGAUUGACGCUGCCAAGGAUUUCAUUUUACUUGGAUCCACAAUCAAUGCCCAUGGAAGCAUCAGUCAAGAGAUCAAACGAUGUAUUGCAUUGGGCAAAUCUGGUGCAAAGGACAUCUUUAAAGUGUCCUAAACAAAGAUGUCACUUUAAGGAUGAAGUGUACCCGACCCCAGCCAUGGUGUUUCCAGUUGUGUCAUAUGCAUUCAAGAGCUGGGCAUUGAAAAAGGAAACCAAGGAAGAAAUGAUGCCUUUGGAUUACGGUAUUGGUGAAGAAUAUUGACUAUGCCAUGGACUGCCCAAAGAACAAACAAAUCUGUCUUGGAAGAAGUACAACCAGGCUGCUCUUUAGAGGCAAGGAUGGAGAAACUUCAGUUUACAUACAUUGGACAUGUUGUCAGGGGGGAUCAGUCCCUGGAGAAGGAUAUCAUGCUUGGAAAAAUAGAGGGUUGGCAAAAGAGACGAAGACCCUCAGCAAGAUGGUUGAGGAAGUGGCUGCAACAAUGGGCUCAGGUAUAACAAUGAUUUUGAGGAUGGCGCAGGACUGGGCAGUGUUUUGUUUAUUGUACAUGGGGUCACUGAGUCAGAACUGACUUGAGGGCCCCUAACAACAACAACAACAACAAUGUACAUGGCAUGUAUUUUUCAGUUUAAUAUUAACUAAUAUAAUCUUCAUAGAUUCCCUUUUUCUUGAGGAAAAAAAUCAAGAUUAUAUGAGCAGCUUAAGUCAGGAUGUCUUAAGUCAGAAUUUCAACCAACUCUUUAAAAUUUCAUUGUGUAUGUUUUUAAUAAAUUAUUUUACAAAGUAGAGAGUAAUUAGGAUUCUGUUAUCAACUUACUGAAAUGCAACUAUAAAAAAUUACUAUAAAUUAAAUUUUAUUUAAUUAAAAUCCUUUUUUACAUUAACUGAGCAAUCUGGGACAAAAUCUAAAGAAAUCAAGACUGACGCUAUGUUUGAGAAUAAACAGAUGCAAGAAAAUUAAAAAAAAACACCUCGUCAUUGGGUAUUUUUUAUUGGAUAUUAAUUAAUAAAAUCUGAAAAUACCAAAGUAGAACAAAGAUAUCAAUAAUAAGACUAAAGUCUGAACUAAAAUUUUUACAGCAUUAUUGAGGUAUAUUUGGCACUCAAUAAACUGAGUAAAAUUAAAGUGUAGUCUUUAAUAAAAAAAAGUCUUUAAUAAGUUCUGACAUAUACAUAUACCCCUGAAAUUACUACCUAAAUCGAGAAAUCAAGCAUAUUCAUGACCCCUAUGAAUUUUCUCCUGAUCUUUUGUAAUCCCUUGCUCCUAACCAACCCCGCCAUGUAAAGAAUCAUUAAUUUCUGUCAUUGUAGAUUAGAUUUUAUUUUUUAGAAAACUAAUACAGGACGUACUUUUUUCAAGAGUGGGCGUUACUUCUUUUACUCAGCAUAAUCAUUUUGUGAUCCAUCCAUGUUGUUGUAUUUCAUUCUUUUUUAUUACAUUCAAUUAUAAGGUAAACCACAAUUUAUUUAUGCAUUUGCCUGUUAAUGGAAAUUUGAGUUAUUUCUAGUUUUGGGCUUUUACAGUUAAAGUGGUAGGGUCAUUUGUACACAUGUCUUUGUGGGGCAAUAUGGUUUUUAUUUAUCCAUUAUUUAUAUAUGUAGCAAGAUGAAUAAUGGUUGGAUCAUAUUGUAGAUGUAUGUUUAAAAAAAAAAACUUCCUAAGAAACUGCUAAAUUCUUUCCCAAAGUAGUUGUACCAUUUCACAUUAACAUCUAACAUAUAAGAGUUCCAGUUCUACACAUCCUUGUCAACACUUGGGAUAGUCAGCAUUUUUAAUUUUAGCUGCUCUAGAUGCUUGGCAGAGUACAGGGUCAGCAGAAAAGAUGAAGACCCUCAACGAGGUGGAUUCACACAGUGGCUGAAACAAUGAGCUUAAGCAUAACAACAAUUGUAAGCAUGGCUCAGGACCAGGGAGUGUUUCGUUCUGUUGUGCAUGGGGUUGCUAUGAGUCGGAACCAACUCAAUGGCACCUAACAACAACAACAGGUGGUUUUCACUUUCAUUUUUUACUUGAUGUCAAGCAUCUUUUCAUGUGAUAUAUUGCAAUCCAAAUAACUUCUGCAGUUUCAUUAAAAAAUUUCUUCUUAUUUAAAAUUGGGUUAUUUGUGUCAUUGAACUACAGGUGAGAUACAAGUCCUUUGUUGAUAACAUUAUAAAAAUAUAUGUUCUUCCAGCCUGUGGCCCAUCUUUUCAUUUCUUUUUUUUUUAAAUAAUUUUUAUUGAGCUUUAAGUGAACGUUUACAAAUCAAGUCAGUCUGUCACAUAUAAGCUUAUAUACACCUUACUUCAUACUCCCACUUACUCUCCCCCUAAUGAGUCGGCCCUUACAGUCUCUCCUUUCGUGACAAUUUUGCCAGUUUCUAACCCUCUCUACCCUCCUAUCUCCCCUCCAGACAGGAGAUGCCAACACAGUCUCAAGUGUCCACCUGAUACAAGUAGCUCACUCUUCAUCAGCAUCUCUCUCCAACCCAUUGUCCAGUCCCUUCCAUGUCUGAUGAGUAGUCUUUGGGAAUGGUUCCUGUCCUGGGCCAACAGAAGGUUUGGGGACCAUGACCGCCAGGAUUCCUCUAGUCUCAGUCAGACCAUUAAGUCUGGUCUUUUUAUUAGAAUUUGGGGUCUGCAUCCCACUGAUCUCCUGCUCCCUCAGGGGUCUCUGUUGUGCUCUCUGUCAGGGCAGUCAUCGGUUGUGGCCAGGUACCAUCUAGUUCUUCUGGUCUCAGGAUGAUGUAAGUCUCUGGUUCAUGUGGCCCUUUCUGUCUCUUGGGCUCAUAGUUAUCGUGUGACCUUGGUGUUCUUCAUUCUCCUUUGAUCCAGGUGGGUUGAGACCAAUUGAUGCAUCUUA